rnacentral:tRNA from 1 species
GAAGGUAUAGCACAGUGGUAGAGUGCAUGCUCCCCAUGCACAAGGUUCUCGGUUCAAUCCCCAGUACCUCUA